CUAACGUCCGUCGUGAAGAGGGAAACAACCCAGACCGCCAGCUAAGGUCCCAAAGUCAUGGUUAAGUGGGAAACGAUGUGGGAAGGCCCAGACAGCCAGGAUGUUGGCUUAGAAGCAGCCAUCAUUUAAAGAAAGCGUAAUAGCUCACUGGUCGAGUCGGCCUGCGCGGAAGAUGUAACGGGGCUAAACCAUGCACCGAAGCUGCGGCAGCGACGCUUAUGCGUUGUUGGGUAGGGGAGCGUUCUGUAAGCCUGUGAAGGUGUGCUGUGAGGUAUGCUGGAGGUAUCAGAAGUGCGAAUGCUGACAUAAGUAACGAUAAAGCGGGUGAAAAGCCCGCUCGCCGGAAGACCAAGGGUUCCUGUCCAACGUUAAUCGGGGCAGGGUGAGUCGACCCCUAAGGCGAGGCCGAAAGGCGUAGUCGAUGGGAAACAGGUUAAUAUUCCUGUACUUGGUGUUACUGCGAAGGGGGGACGGAGAAGGCUAUGUUGGCCGGGCGACGGUUGUCCCGGUUUAAGCGUGUAGGCUGGUUUUCCAGGCAAAUCCGGAAAAUCAAGGCCGAGGCGUGAUGACGAGGCACUACGGUGCUGAAGCAACAAAUGCCCUGCUUCCAGGAAAAGCCUCUAAGCAUCAGGUAACAUCAAAUCGUACCCCAAACCGACACAGGUGGUCAGGUAGAGAAUACCAAGGCGCUUGAGAGAACUCGGGUGAAGGAACUAGGCAAAAUGGUGCCGUAACUUCGGGAGAAGGCACGCUGAUACGUAGGUGAAGCGACUUGCUCGUGGAGCUGAAAUCAGUCGAAGAUACCAGCUGGCUGCAACUGUUUAUUAAAAACACAGCACUGUGCAAACACGAAAGUGGACGUAUACGGUGUGACGCCUGCCCGGUGCCGGAAGGUUAAUUGAUGGGGU
rnacentral:rRNA from 1 species